ACUCCCCUCUGGAUGGUGACAGUCUGGCCUGAGGUGAUGUUAGGUUUUCCGACAGGUUAAUGUAAACAGGGAAAAUCAGUCAAGAUCCUGAGCAUCUGUUAGGGGUGAAGAGGCUAAUUUGUACAAUGUGUGUCUCAUCAAAUUUGAUUCAUUUUUUGAGAUCUUUGAGAUGCGGAGCAGGAAGAAAAGGGAGAAAUGAAAUAAUCUCCGCAGAACCCAGUUCCCUGUUUUGCACAUUGUGGUCUAUCCAAGCUACUGAAAUCUCCAAGUGAUGCUCAACUGGAACAAGGCUCCUAUCAGAGCGUACGACAAUGAGGAGGUUACUCAGAUAUUCAGGUACAGAAAUGAGGAAGUUAUCAUGGACAUAACACAUACUAUAAAGGAAAGAGAUUGCUUUGAUCAGCUAUCUAUGUGUUGCUCUGCAAUAAGUUAGGAGUUCCCUUUUCCUCGAUUUUUUGCCAUGCAAGUGGUCGUCUUUUAAUGACUGGUUGAAACCUAUUAUGGA